GUUGCAGGUGAACCCCUGAUGGGAAUCUUUAUUUCACAGAGUGGAAGCAAAGGAAUUGGAGUGAGUGCAGACCAUGCUUUGAAGGAAUUCUGCCACAAAGGACAUGUCCAACCUGUAAAACCCACCUGUUCUGUCACCCUCAGCUUCUGGUGUCUACUUUCUAGACUGAAGGCAAUACUGGAAAGGUCGGAUUCAAGGGCUUUCAGAUUGACCACCCAUGAAUAUGGGGCUGCGACCCCUAAGGAGGACCUCAGGUGUCUUUUCCCAAGCGAACGUUCUGGAUCUGCCCUUUCUGCGGCUCACCUCCCCAGCCGGUCUUUUGGCUUCAUCUUUGAUUGCUGGCUCUUGUGCUAUUGGAUCAGUGGGGACAUCUAUCUUCUGUCUUCAAACAUCAGAGUUUCUGGUUCCUGGGCCUUUGGACUUGGACUAGAACUUUACUACCAGCUGUCCUGGUUCCCUAGCUUGUGGACAGCAGAGCGUAGAACUUCUUAGCCUCCAUAAUCACGUGCUGUUGCAGUAGUUCAAAUGGAUCCUCAGCCUGAAAGUGUCAAUGCAGAGGAAACCCAAAGGAUGCCAAUGGAGAUUGUCUUUUCAUUUUGUUAAGGUUGAAAUGUUUCUAAAGCUAAUUAAAAAAAAUUUUUUUAAAGGACAGUCUUCAUAAUUCUAGGUAUUAAGACAGAUAUCUGGGAG
rnacentral:lncRNA from 1 species